AGUGAACGCUGGCGGUAGGCCUAACACAUGCAAGUCGAACGGCAGCACAGUAAGAGCUUGCUCUUACGGGUGGCGAGUGGCGGACGGGUGAGGAAUACAUCGGAAUCUACUUUUUCGUGGGGGAUAACGUAGGGAAACUUACGCUAAUACCGCAUACGACCUACGGGUGAAAGCAGGGGAUCUUCGGACCUUGCGCGAUUGAAUGAGCCGAUGUCGGAUUAGCUAGUUGGGGGGGUAAAUGCCCACCAAGGCGACGCUCCGUAGCUGGCCUGGGAGGUUGAACAGUCACACUGGAAGUUAGAGACGAUCCUAACUCCUACAAGAUGCAGCAGUGAGGAAUAUUAGACAAGGCACGCAAGCCUGAUCCAGCCAUACCGCGUGGGAGAAGAAGGCCUUCUGGUUGUAAAGCCCUUUUGUUGGGAAAGAAAAGCAGCAGUUUAAUACUCCGCUGUGCUGACGGUACCCAAAGAAUAAGCACCGGCUAACUUCGUG
rnacentral:rRNA from 1 species